CAAUAGCGUAUAUUAAAGUUGUUGCAGUUAAAAAGCUCGUAGUUGGAUUUCUGAUCGAGACAUCAGGUCGGGUCCGAGAGGAUCAUGUACUUUGAUUUUGUUUUGAUCAUCCUUGGGGAGAGCAUUUCUGGCAUUCAGUUGUCGGGAUUGGGAUCCUCAUCGUUUACUGUGAAAAAAUUAGAGUGUUCAAAGCAGGCCUCGGCCUCUGAAUACAUUAGCAUGGAAUAAUAAGAUAGGACUUUGGUGGUCUAUUUCGUUGGUUUGCACGCCAAAGUAAUGAUUAAUAGGGAUAGUUGGGGGUAUUCGUAUUCAAUUGUCAGAGGUGAAAUUCUUGGAUUUAUGGAAGACGAACUACUGCGAAAGCAUUUACCAAGGAUGUUUUCAUUAA
rnacentral:rRNA from 1 species